rnacentral:rRNA from 1 species
GAUGAACGCUGGCGGCGUGCCUAACACAUGCAAGUCGAACGAAGCUUGACGGAUGAUUUCUUCGGAAUGAAACCAGAUAUGACUUAGUGGCGGACGGGUGAGUAACACGUGAGCAACCUGCCUUUCAGAGGGGGAUAACGGCUGGAAACGGUCGCUAAUACCGCAUGAUGUGUUCGGAUGGCAUCAUCUGAACAUCAAAGAUUUAUCGCUGAAAGAUGGGCUCGCGUCUGAUUAGAUAGUUGGUGGGGUAACGGCCUACCAAGUCUACGAUCAGUAGCCGGACUGAGAGGUUGAACGGCCACAUUGGGACUGAGGUACGGCCCAGACUCCUACGGGAGGCAGCAGUGGGGAAUAUUGCACAAUGGGGGAAACCCUGAUGCAGCAACGCUGCGUGAAGGAUGACGGUUUUCGGAUUGUAAACUUCUUUUCUUAGUGACGAAGACAGUGACGGUAGCUAAGGAAUAAGCAUCGGCUAACUACGUG